UUCAAGGCGGAAUAGAGUCUUAUGGGGCAUUAUUAUAAUGUAUUGUAUGUAGCUGCUAGCUAGCUAGUCAGAAAAUAAACUUUGUUGAACGUUUCGCGGGAUAUAUUGUUGACGGUAAAAGUAGCUGUGGUAGCUACAGUAGCGCCUGAAUCAGGACGUUGCAAUGUUAAAAAACGAGGAUCUAUCCAUUCUGGGAACAAGUCACAUCAGGCAGAUCUUCAAGCAGUGUGCCCCAGCAGACGUCGCAGUUGUGCCCUGGUUAACACUCCCUCACUGUGUGUCAACAAAGCUGUUUGCCAUAUUCAGGAGCUGAAGAAGCAACUGGAGAACUGGUGUCAACAGUCAGGAAAUGUUCAGCAUCAGAUGUCUCAUGAAAAACAUCAAAAUAGCAAAACUUUCAGAGCAUAAGGUCUGUACCAGAGACAUCAGUGAAUUGAAAUGGCAUCUGAAAUUGAGAAGAGAUAAACUUUACCAAGGGAAGGAUAGAAUGAUCAAGACCAGAGGUUCUGAACCAGCUGUUAAAUGAGGACAUUGAUUUCGUCAAGAAAAAUGGGCCUCUCAUGAAGGACAAACUGCAGCUGGAGAGUGAUUUCAUGAACCAAAUUAAUACGGCUCAACGUGAGGCCCAUGAGACAUUUUCAAAGACCUUCAAUGAACUCAAGAGAUUUCAAGAAGAGAUAAGUAAGGAAGAACUGAAAGCUGAUGAGGAGAGAGGAUUGAUGUUCCAUGAACUUAAGGGCAUCAAGAAUCUGCUUAAUGACAGACUAGACUUGCAGGUGAAGCGGCGGUCUCUCACUCCGAGGAGGUGUUCCGUAAGAAACAUCAGGACACCUUGGAUCUCCAUGAGGAAAAAAAAGUAUAUGAACUGGAGAUUGAGGACUACAGCAAAAAGAUCUAUGAGGGUGAACAAGCAGUGAAGCAGCUUCAGAAGAACAGGAAGCGCAUGCUGCAGAAGAUCAGUGUGAACGAGGACCAGAUAGCAGAGGCUAAGGAGGAGCUGUCCCAGAUAGCAACGCUGCACGCCAACACCAAGGUCAACUUGGAGGAGCUGGAGCAGAAGACCUUCAUGGUGGAGCAGAGGAUGAGAGUCUGUGUGAAAAGAGCCAUGCACUUAGCUAGACAUCCAUGCACUCUAACCUGUAGUAAAUUAAUCCUAGAUAUGGAGGUUGCAUAUCCUUAUUGACACGUCUAAUGUUUAGAUUCAGCCCUUUGACCAUUAGAUAUUGUCAAUCACAUAAUCUGCACUAUUUGUCAGUGAAAUAAGCACAUACUUUUAGAGAUUCAUCCAUGCAUGGAACCUCACUACCAAGGUGGGUUUGUGAAAGGAGCACCUGCAGAUAGACGUUCAGAUAUGCACUAGUAGAUCCAUGUACCAUGAUGGAAUGGGCUUCUUUACUAGUGUUACUGAUGCAACACAUCAAUAUCUCCUCAGAAAGUGACUGAGAAUCUGAAGAAAGACGAGCGAGAUGAAAGCCCUGGUCAUUCUGAAGGGUAAAAUAACAACUAUUGAAGCAGAAUUACACCAGGAGAAAACCAACACAGAAAACGCCAGAUGGGAACUUCAUAAGGAAUUUGAGGAGGCGUAAUCAGCUACAAAACAACUGGAAAUUGAAACAGAAAAACUGAGAAAGAUUUUAUGUUCAGUUUACUGUAUUUGAAUUUUAGUGAGAGAUGUUGAGUAUUUCAAAUUCAAUUGAUUAUUCAUUUCUCUGUUUCAGAAAAUAUUAAGUUUAAGCAACUCAGUGAUAUUCUAACAAAACACAACAACAUUUCAGUUUGUCUGUAAAAGGAACGGAACAUGAAACUUUUCCAUCUAAAUACUGUCAAGGUACGAUAAAGCAAGGGUUUACACACAGUCACUUACAAAUGUGUUUAAUUUUCAGAAUAGUGUGAAAUGUAAGGGAUAUUAGCACAACACAUUUCAUAACAUCAUGCAUUACAUCUAAUACACACGCAUAAUUUCCAAGUUGGGCCCCGUGUA